UUAAAAAUAUGAAUAGAUUUAAAAUGUAAAAACAAGAGUUGUAUCUCAUGCAGCCAGUGGAGUACUGUGAUUCCACACUGAUUAAGAGUCAACUGAUCACAUGACCUGGAAGCUAUUGAGCUAAAAUGCUAAUAUUUACAUAUAAAAAUUAAUUAAAAAUAUGAACAGAUUCAAAAUGUAAAACAAAGAGGUGUAU